UGAAAUUCUAAUAAUGUUGGAAGGGUCAAAGUCGAGUCCCGAGAGUGUUAAGCAAGUUUUAGCAUUGCUCGGCGCGAUUUAAAAGUGAAUAAUGCGAAAGAAAUAGAUGAACAAGUUCCAAUUAGCAUUCCAACGAGGUUGGAAGGGCUAAAAAUGAGUUUAAGAGGUGUUAGAAAGGUUUUAGCAUCGAACGGCGCGAAACAGAAUUGAAAACGGCGCAAAAUU
rnacentral:lncRNA from 1 species